GAUUAACGCGAAGAACCUUACCAGCUCUUGACAUCUUCUGUCCUCUCUAGAGAUAGAGCUUCCCCUUCGGGAACUUUGAGACAGGUGCUGCAUGGCUGUCGUCAGCUCGUGUUGUGAAAUGUUGGGUUAAGUCCCGCAACGAGCGCAACCCUUAUCCUUUGUUGCCAGCGAUACGGUCGGGAACUCAAAGGAGACUGCCGGUGAUAAACCGGAGGAAGGUGGGGAUGACGUCAAGUCAUCAUGGCCCUUACGAGUAGGGCUACACACGUGCUACAAUGGCGUAUACAGAGAGAAACGAGCCUGCGAGGGGAAGCGGAACUCAGAAAGUACGUCGAAGUCCGGAUUGGAGUCUGCAACUCGACUCCAUGAAGUCGGAAUCGCUAGUAAUCG
rnacentral:rRNA from 1 species